AGCAGUUCACACUUAUGUUACUGGAGAAAACAAUGGCUUACAUAGCAAAGUCAUUCUAUGACCUAUAUGCUACAAACAUAGAUGGGGAGAAAGUAGAUUUCAAUGUGUUUAGGGGAAGGGUGGUGUUGAUAGAAAAUGUUGCUUCACUUUGAGACACCACAGUCAGGGAUUACACCCAGCUUAAUGAGCUGCAGACCAAGUAUCCGCGACGGCUUGUGGUGCUGGGAUUUCCAUGCAAUCAAUUUGGUUAUCAAAAGUCUUUGAAGCCCUUGGGAAAACUGGAGGCCAUAUAAAUCCAUUGAAGGGCACACAGGCUUCCAGAUGGACAGCUAACACUAUUUAAGUACUUUUUUGUUCAGCUCCUAAUCCAUAUCCUGUUUCUUCUAAGCUGGAACUUCUUCUCACCGAUAACAUUUGAAUUUAAAUCCUUGGAAUUCUCCUCUGUAAAACCUGGUGGCAACAUAGGACAAGUGGGAUCCUCCCUAAAAAAAAGGGGCAGUCAUAGGAAAACUGUAAAAAUGAAGAGAUUCUUAAUUCUUUAAAAUAUGUACGACCCGGAAAAGGCUUUGUACCAGGAUUCACCCUGUUCCAGAAAUGUGAUGUUAAUGGAAAAGACACUCAUUCGGUUUUUGCUUACUUAAAGGACAAACUACCAGUCCCUGACAAUGAGCCUGCAGCCCUUAUUAGUGACCCCAGAUAUAUUGUAUGGAAUCCAGUACAUCGGUCUGACAUUUCCUGGAACUUUGAGAAGUUUCUUAUUGGACCUGAAGGAGAACCAUUCAAAAGAUACAACAAAAAUUUCCAAACCAUCAGUAUAGAACCUGACAUCCAGAGACUUCUUAAGCUCACCAAAUAGCAUCUAGAAUUAUGUGUAUGCAUGUAUGCUACAGAUAAUUACUACAUGGCAGCUCAUAAGAAAAUCUAAUUGGCCUUCACAGGGACUGCUGCAAUGUAAAUGGCAGUGGGCAAAUGUUUGUGACUAUCUACAUUCAUAAUAAUAUUGAUACCCACCUGGGAGUUGUUGUGUUUAGGGUUUUUGGGGAAGUUUAGUAGUGAGUGUCUCAGUUUUCACCCACUUCUUUUUUUCCCCAGUGGGACAACAGGUUUACAACUCUGCCCACACACACCAUGGCCACUAUACUUAUGGCCACGGUGAUCAUUAUAUUUUUAAUAUUUGCCCAUCUUAUAAUUAUUACAGAACAUUCUUUCACACUAGAGAAACAUUUAUUUUAGCAAUUGCUAAGGCUCCAACAGUUUUUCUUUUUCGCCUGUCAGUAAUGGGUUGCAGGAGCAGAAGAUUAUCAGUGUUUAGAUGUAAGCCUUGUUCUUGAUGACUGUAUUCUUUGAAAACCUGUUAGAAGGAUACAUGAAUGUUGUUGCAGGACUGUAUCUGGACACUGCUGUAUUUUUCCCCUGUACAAACUCAAAUAAACAUCAUGUGCUACAAUA